AGAGUUUGAUCCUGGCUCAGAAUCAACGCUGGCGGCGUGCCUAACACAUGCAAGUCGAACGCGAAAGCCCCUUCGGGGGUAAGUAGAGUGGCGUCCGGGUGAGUAACACGUAGGUAAUCUACCUCUGGGUGGGGAAUAACGUCUCGAAAGAGACGCUAAUACCGCAUAAUGCAGCGGCACCUAAUGGUGAAUAGUUGUUAAAGCGGGGGACCUGCAAGGGCCUCGCGCCUGGAGAGGAGCCUGCGGCAGAUUAGCUAGUUGGUGAGGUAAUGGCUCACCAAGGCUGCGAUCUGUAGCUGGUCUGAGAGGACGGCCAGCCACACUGGCACUGACACACGGGCCAGACUCCUACGGGAGGCAGCAGUGGGGAAUUUUGGGCAAUGGGCGCAAGCCUGACCCAGCAACGCCGCGUGAGGGAGGAAAUCCUUCGGGAUGUAAACCUCACAAGCAAGGGAAGAGCGCUCAGGGGUGAAUACCCCCUGAGUCCGACGGUACCUUGCGUAAGCCACGGCUAACUACGUGCCAGCAGCCGCGGUAAUACGUAGGUGGCAAGCGUUGUUCGGAAUUAUUGGGCGUAAAGGGCGCGUAGGCGGUUCUGUAAGUCGGUUGUGAAAGCCCGGGGCUCAACCCCGGAGGGUCGACUGAUACUGCAGGACUAGAGUACGGAAGAGGUAGCUGGAAUUCCCGGUGUAGCGGUGAAAUGCGUAGAUAUCGGGAGGAACACCUGAGGCGAAGGCGGGCUACUGGGCCGAUACUGACGCUGAGGCGCGAAAGCCAGGGGAGCAAACGGGAUUAGAUACCCUAGUAGUCC
rnacentral:rRNA from 1 species